rnacentral:rRNA from 1 species
UACAGAGGUCUCAAGCGUUGUUCGGAUUCAUUGGGCGUAAAGGGUGCGUAGGUGGCUAGGUAAGUCGGAUGUGAAAUCCCGGGGCUCAACCCCGGAACUGCAUUCGAUACUGCCUGGCUAGAGUACUGGAGAGGAGAUUGGAAUUUACGGUGUAGCAGUGAAAUGCGUAGAUAUCAGGAGGAACACCGGUGGCGAAGGCGGGUCUCUGGGCCUUACCUGACGCUGGAGGAGCGAAAGCGUGGGGAGCGAACAGG